AGUGAACGCUGGCGGUAGGCCUAACACAUGCAAGUCGAACGGCAGCACAGUAAGAGCUUGCUCUUACGGGUGGCGAGUGGCGGACGGGUGAGGAAUACAUCGGAAUCUACUUUUUCGUGGGGGAUAACGUAGGGAAACUUGCGCUAAUACCGCAUACGACCUACGUGUGAAAGCAGGGGAUCUUCGGACCUUGCGCGAUUGAAUGAGCCGAUGUCGGAUUAGCUAGUUGGCGGGGUAAAGGCCCACCAAGGCGACGAUCCGUAGCUGGUCUGAGAGGAUGAUCAGCCACACUGGAACUGAGACACGGUCCAGACUCCUACGGGAGGCAGCAGUGGGGAAUAUUGGACAAUGGGCGCAAGCCUGAUCCAGCCAUACCGCGUGGGUGAAGAAGGCCUUCGGGUUGUAAAGCCCUUUUGUUGGGAAAGAAAAGCAGCAGGUUAAUACCCCGCUGUUCUGACGGUACCCAAAGAAUAAGCACCGGCUAACUUCGUG
rnacentral:rRNA from 1 species